GACUACAAGUCUCCCCCAC
rnacentral:snRNA from 1 species